CUCUCGCCUCCCCCGGCCCGUGUCAGGCCGGGCGACUGGAGAGGCUAAUAGGAAACCCCGACCCGAGGCGCUGAGGCCAGGAGGGAGGGCAGAGCGGGUCAGAGGCCGGCCCUUCCCGGCCCCCGGCGCCCCCGGAGGUCAGGGAGAUAAGGAACAAUGACUCUCGCCCCCGGGAGGAGGAAGGAAGCCCCGCUGCCGCCGCCUUAUCUCCGCUCCUGUGCGUUCACCCAGUUCCCAGAGCGGGUUCUCUAGAGAGGACUUGGAAGGCGGCUUUUGUGCUGAUGGCCAGCCCCAUCAUCUGAAGGUGAAUUUGGCGAAUGAUAUGCAGGUUCUCCAGGACAAUCACAGAAAAUCGUCAAAGGACCCCCUCUGCAGAUGUCCUGAACACUUUUGACUACAGCAAUUGAUUCUUCAACCAGGAUACCUAAUUCCAGACCUGCAGGAAUCAGGAGACAGACAUUUUCUCAGUUUU
rnacentral:lncRNA from 1 species